CCAGGGAACCCCCUCCCCCCACCACGUUUGCGCCCCGCUUCACACGCUCCGGGCGCGGCGCUUUGGGUCUCUCACCCUCCCUCCCUCCCUCUCCCUCCCAUCCCAACCCACCCCCGAUCGUCCUGGAAGGCCCUGCUCCCGGGCCGCGGCUCAGGACUCGGGCUCCCGCGGGGCCUGGGGGUGGAGGCGGAGGGGGGAGGGGGAAGGGAGGGGGCAGCCCCGCCUCCCGGGGGAGAGUGGAGCGCCUCAUUAUGCUGGGCUCGCCCGGGAUGCCGGGCUCUCGGCGUCCGCUGCCUCCUCCGGGGACGCCCCAGGGCCUUGCAGCCCUCUGCCUGGGGGGACCUCCUUGCCAGCAACAGCCUUGAGCCCCGGGGAGAGACUGGCUUCUGGGCCGAGGAGCGGGCUCCCGGGACCCGUCCCGAGAGGGAGACUGGGGCAGCCCCAGAGGACUGGGAGGCGCAGCUGCCAAGCAGAUGGUAACUCCGAGGGGGCAAGGUGCAUGAGGAGGGCUCGUUAUCCUCGCCCAGAGCCAACAGCACCUGCUCUCCCCCUGGAGACCGCCUUCACUCAGCAGAGCCGGCCUGCCCGCUGAGAGGGGCAACCAUCUCAAGGUCGUGCAACCUGCUGAAGGCAGGGCUAGGGAACGCAUCUAGGUUCUCCUCCCAGCCCUGCCGUGAGGUCUCAACUGGCUCAACUUGCUUCCCUGCACCUGGUCCCAUCCUUAGUGCAAGAGCACCCUCAGCAUUUCACAUCCAUUACUGACCUUGCUUCUCGAAGUAAAUACCUUCUGAGGUAGAAAGAAGAGCCCGCUGCAUCCCUGUCUAACUGAUGUUUCCAGAAAGAGGUAAGUGACUUGCCAAGGUCGCAGACUAGUGAUGGAGCCAGGAGAAGCCACUCUUCCAGCUGUGGUUCCAGGUCCUCGAAGGGAUACUCCGCGGUGCUAGCAUGCAGGGCUGGGGCUACUCUGCUCGUCUCGCACUCACCUUCUUCCUUUCUUGCUGCUGUGUUCCGAAGCAGUUUACACACUGAGCACCUGCCACAGUGCCCCCGCCCCCAGUCAGAGGUAAGCAGAACAGCACAGGGAGGGCAGAUGAAUCCCUGCACACCCGGCAAGUGAGAGUAAGAAGAUAAGCCGGCUUUUAUACCCCAUCUGUUUUUAUGUUUUCCUUGCCUUGUUCCAAAUAAGGUUAAAGGUGGCCGCAUUGCACCUUCCCAAUUCAGUACCCACCCCCUUCCUGAACUACACACUCCGCCCCCCUCACCCCCCACCCACACACCCCAGGCAUGAGGCACUUGACAGUUAUCAAAGCAUUUCCAUGACUACUAACCUUCUUAGAGCCUCCCCUUGGCCUUUAGAAGCUGCAGGACUGGGACAGACCAGCCCAUUUCGCUGAUAAGGGACCUGAAGGUUGACCCGCGUCUCCAAAUCCACACUGCAUGGACAUUCUCCACCUCUACCCUUUCCCAACUGCCUCCCUUACAAAGUCCACACUCGAUCCUCUCUUUUGUCCAGCCUUCUUCAGAGGGGCAUCCCUUUAUCCCAAAGCAGCAGACCGGGAUACAGACAUGUCCUGGGAUUCCAUUUCCCCUCCAAAGCUGAGGGGCUGGCUCUGAGCCAGAUGCCCAGGGCUGUGUUGAGUUUGCCAGGUCCAGAUGGAGGAAUGGACCAUGUAAGAGUGGAAGCUGCCCUCCCUGCUACCCAGCAAGGAAGAAUGGCAAUACACAGUCCAGUGCAGUAGCCCAGGGUGAAGGGGGCAGCUUUCACUGGGGCCACCAUGUUCAAAUCUCUGCUCCGGCAUUUCCUAACUCCUUGAUUAUUUCACCUCAUUGUGCCUCAGUUUCCUCAUCUGUCAAAUGGGGAUAAUAAAAAUUCUUCCUAUUUGGUCGGGCUUGUUCUAGGGAAGAAAAUCAUACAUGCGUCAUAUGCCUGGUACACAGUAAGUCCUGGAGAAAUGUAGUUACCAUUUUUAGCUAUUGACUCUGUGGCCUUGACUAAGCUCAUUCUCUCCUCUACACCUCUGACCCCCACAUCACAAAAUGAGAAACUUGAAGAAAAUCACAGCUUUUUUUUUUUUUUUCCAGCUGGAACAUCAGCCGGUUCUCCCAAAUCUAAAACAGACAAAAACUGCUUGAGGCAAAGGUGGAGUGGGGGAGCCCCCACUCUAACUUCAUCUGAAAGCUCCUUCACUGGACUCUAAGACUCUGUAGAACUGAGGACCACAGGACUGGACCAUCUCCAUGGCCCUUUCGGCCCAGACAUUCUAGGGUUAAAGUAAUAGGUCUUCACAAGUCCCUGUUGAGCACGGAGCCCUACCCCAGUGUUGGGGUAUAGAGAAAAGGAAAGUCAGCCCCAGCAGUACCUGGUGCAAAAUAGAUGCUUGGCACAUGUUGGUUCCCUUUGUUCCCUUCCCCUCUCUCCUACCCAGAUGGGGAAACUGAGGCACAAGCGGCCACAUCAGAGAGCGAUGGCAAAACUUGGAGAAGCGUGGGGCUGUUGGAUACCCUGGCCCCCGGUGCCUUGCAUCUGCCCACAGCACAGGCCCAGGGUCCCAUGGCCUUGCCAGGGCUGGCUCCCACCCUAGCCUUCGGUCAGCAGGGAAGGCCAGGAUGCUGUGCUAUGCCAGUGGCCAGCUGGUCACCUCCGGAGAGGCCAAGUGGCCUCCCAGCAGGGGACCACCACUCUGAGCCAAGGCUGGAUGUGAUCACAUGUCACCCCCACCCCCUCAGCCCCCCAACUCAUCCACCAGAACCUGAGUGCCCCCAGUUCCCCACUGGCCUUGCUAGGCAUGGCCUCUGCCCGCACCUCCCCACUUUCAUGCACACAGCACAGACACACGCAGUGAGGGAGAAGCAUGUGAACUGACUGGAAAUGGUGUAGGCCUAGAACCAAAGACAAGGAUUCAUUCAUCUUCCACUGGGUCGGCAAAUGUGUGUUGGGGACUUUUGCGACAGUUACCUUCCUUCCCCGGGUGCAACUCAAAAGACUCUUAGCAUCUUUUCUUUACUUGUUUAAUCACCAAGACACUUU